rnacentral:rRNA from 1 species
AUGCUUACCCUCAGUCCGCAAUACCCAAAAACUCCAAUGAAGCUAAAAAAACUAGUCAAAUGCCUAGGACUUGGGUAUGUUAAUAUCCAUGCAUGUGAAAAUGAUUGCAUUCUAUUUUGGAAGAACAAUGCCAAUGCCAAUUCAUGCCCAGAAUGUAAGGCUUCAAGAUGGAAAUCUGAAAGGAAGAGUGCAGAUGGGAAACAUGUCCACAAGGUUCCUAAGAAGGUUCUUCGUUACUUCCCAAUAAAGAAGAGGCUUCAAAGGUUGUUUGUGUGUUCCAGAACUGCGGCUCUCACAAGAUGGCAUGCA